CCUACGUGUGGCAGCAGUGGGGAAUAUUGCACAAUGGGGGAAACCCUGAUGCAGCGAAGCCGCGUGAGCGAUGAAGUAUUUCGGUAUGUCAAGCUCUAUCAGCAGGGAAGAAAAUGACGGUACCUGACUACUAAGCCCCGGCUAACUACGUGCCAGCAGCCGCGGUAAUACGUAGGGCGCAAGCGUUAUCCGGAUUUACUGGGUGUAAAGGGAGCUUAGACGGUCCUGCACGCCAGAUGGGAACGCACGGGGCUCAACCCCGGGACUGCAUUUGGAACUGUAAGGCUAGAGUGGCGGAGAGGCAGGCGGAAUUCCUAGGGGAGCGGUGAAAUGCGUAGAUAUUAGGAGGAACACCAGUGGCGAAGGCGGCCUGCUGGACGAUGACUGACGUUGAGGCUCGAAAGCGUGGGGAGCAAACAGGAUUAGAUACCCUAGUAGUC
rnacentral:rRNA from 1 species